rnacentral:rRNA from 1 species
CAGGCACCAGGACAGACUAUGUUAAGCACCCUAAUACAAAAGACAAAACUAACUAGGCCCUGUUCUAAUGCCUUUGGUUGGGGCGACCGCGGGGAAAUAAAAAACCCCCACGUGGACUAAGAGCACCCUUUACUCUUACAACCAAGGGCUACAGCCCUAAGUAACAGAAUCUCUGACCAUAAAUGAUCCGGUACAACCGAUCAACGAACCGAGUUACCCUAGGGAUAACAGCGCAAUCCCCUUCUAGAGUCCAUAUCGACAAGGGGGUUUACGACCUCGAUGUUGGAUCAGGACAUCCUAUUGGUGCAGCCGCUAUUAAG